rnacentral:scRNA from 1 species
CGCCGUACACCCGAGCCUCACCAAACACCUCAGCCUCGACGCACACCCACG